ACUCGUACCACAAAGUGGGCAGCUGAGGAGCUGAUCACCGCCUGGUACAUCGGGUUCCUGGUGCUCAUCUUCGCCUCCUUCCUGGUCUACCUGGCCGAGAAGGACGCCAACUCCGACUUCUCCUCCUACGCCGACUCGCUCUGGUGGGGGACGAUUACAUUGACAACCAUUGGCUAUGGUGACAAGACACCACACACAUGGCUGGGCAGGGUCCUGGCUGCUGGCUUCGCCUUACUGGGCAUCUCUUUCUUUGCCCUGCCUGCCGGCAUCCUAGGCUCCGGCUUCGCCCUGAAGGUCCAGGAGCAGCACCGGCAGAAGCACUUCGAGAAGCGGAGGAUGCCGGCAGCCAACCUCAUCCAGGCUGCAUGGCGCCUGUACUCCACCGAUAUGAGCCGGGCCUACCUGACAGCCACCUGGUACUACUAUGACAGUAUCCUCCCAUCCUUCAGAGAGCUGGCCCUCUUCUUUGAGCACGUGCAACGGGCCCGCAAUGGGGGCCUACGGCCCCUGGAGGUGCGGCGGGCGCCGGUACCCGACGGAGCACCCUCCCGUUACCCGCCCGUUGCCACCUGCCACCGGCCGGGCAGCACCUCCUUCUGCCCUGGGGAAAGCAGCCGGAUGGGCAUCAAAGACCGCAUCCGCAUGGGCAGCUCCCAGCGGCGGACGGGUCCUUCCAGGCAGCAUCUGGCGCCUCCAACAAUGCUCACCUCCCCGAGCAGCGAGCAGGUGGGUGAGGCCACCAGCCCCACCAAGGUGCAGAAGAGCUGGAGCUUCAAUGACCGCACACGCUUCCGGGCAUCUCUGAGACUCAAACCCCGCACCUCUGCUGAGGAUGCCCCCUCAGAGGAAGCAGCAGAGGAGAAGAGCUACCAGUGUGAGCUCACGGUGGACGACGUCAUGCCUGCUGUGAAGACAGUCAUCCGCUCCAUCAGGAUUCUCAAGUUCCUGGUGGCCAAAAGGAAAUUCAAGGAGACACUGCGACCGUACGACGUGAAGGACGUCAUUGAGCAGUACUCAGCAGGCCACCUGGACAUGCUGGGCCGGAUCAAGAGCCUGCAAACUCGGGUGGACCAAAUUGUGGGUCGGGGGCCCGGAGACCGGAAGGCCCGGGAGAAGGGCGACAAGGGGCCCUCCGACGCGGAGGUGGUGGAUGAAAUCAGCAUGAUGGGACGCGUGGUCAAGGUGGAGAAGCAGGUGCAGUCCAUCGAGCACAAGCUGGACCUGCUGUUGGGCUUCUAUUCGCGCUGCCUGCGCUCUGGCACCUCGGCCAGCCUGGGCGCGGUGCAAGUGCCGCUGUUCGACCCCGACAUCACCUCCGACUACCACAGCCCUGUGGACCACGAGGACAUUUCUGUCUCCGCACAGACGCUCAGCAUCUCCCGCUCGGUCAGCACCAACAUGGACUGAAGGACUUCUCAGAGGCAGGGCAGCACACGGCCAGCCCCGCGGCCUGGCGCUCCGACUGCCCUCUGAGGCCUCCGGACUCCUCUCGUACUUGAACUCACUCCCUCACGGGGAGAGAGGCCACACGCAGUAUUGAGCUGCCUGAGUGGGCGUGGUACCUGCUGUGGGUGCCAGCGCCCUUUCCCCACCUCAGGAGCGUGAGAUGCCAGGUCGCACAGAGGGCAGCAACAGCGGUCCCGCGGCCUCUGGGCCCCCCAGUGCCCUGCCCACUCCAUCAAGGCCCUAUGUGGCCCACCUGGCAGGGUCACAGCCCCGGGAGUGGGAGCGGGUGCUGGGGCCCUGGGCCCUGACCCAGCUUCCAGCUAUGCAAGGUGAGGUCUCUGGCCCACCCUUCGGACACAGCAGGGAAGCCCUCCCGCCAAGUCCCCGCCCCACUUGGGGGUGGGCCAAGGUGCCCCCACAGGUACCCACAAAGCACAGGACCCUGCCACAAGGCAGGUGGGCACCAUAUAUGCAAACCAUGUUAAAUAUGCAACUUUGGGGACCCCCAUGGGGUCUCUCUGCCCCUCCCCCAUUGGGAGCUGGGCCCCCAGCAGUAGCUGGUCUCAGGCUGCUUGGCCACCACCCUGUCCCUAUUCUUUGGCUUAUCACUCCUUCCCCUCCCAGCAUGGGGCCUGUUUCUCCCCUGCUCUCUCCUAAGGGCAGUGCCUGGGCCUUUCUUCCCAUUUGCAAGUGUCAGCUCCCAGGGGCUCCCUCCUCCUGCUGGGUGGCCACUCCCCUCCUUGGCCCUCCAGACACCACUCAUAGUCAGCACAAGUUUCUGUAUUCUCCCCAAAACUUCCAGACAGUGCUUCGUGGACGAUCACACAAACAUAGCCUUUUAGUUUCUCCAGACAGGAAGAAAGCCUCUCACACUUAAACAUGCAAUGACGUGACACACUUGGAGACAUGAGCUCAGAGCCACUCAGCCGCUCCUGGGCCUCUGCAGCAGAUGCCAGUGGACUGGCCUUGCAGGAUGAUGUCCACUAAGAGGAAGAGCCCCAACUCCAUCUGAGCAGGAGAGGGAGCUUUGAAGUAACCCGAGAGCUCUCCAGGCCCCACCCAGACCUUUACCCACUCCCCUUCUUCAGGAAGAUCUCCUCCUCUCUGGUCCAGGAGCCCUAACCCGCUGCCUCUGCCUGUCUCCAAGGGCCCGCCUCCGUGUCUCCACAGCACAACUCGGGCCCAGGCCUGACACCACUGGGGAGACCCCAGGCCCGCUUCUAGCCAGGCCUGUGCCUUCCUAGUCACUCUAACUCCCAGAGAGAAUAAGAAUGCAUCUAAUAGCUAUACCAACCGCGCAUCUGGCUUUCACAUGCACUGUCUCCCCUCCCUCCAUACCCCGCUUCUUCACUUCAAUUGGCAGCCCCACAUCCGGGCAUAAGCCCCCAUUCACUCCAGGAACACUUUCUUAUCCCCACCCCUUUGCUCCUCUUCUGCAAAGCCAAUGCAGGUGGCAGGAAGGUGAGGGGUAGUGGACCAAUGGCAACCCCCUCUGGGAACAAGGGGCCGAGGCCACGCUGCCUGCAUCUUGUGCUGGGGACCUGCAUGCGCCAGCACCAGGGCUUGGACUGGAUCUUGCUCAGUCCAUGGUGCCCAGCCUCUGCCCCAACAUGCCCUCUGCAUGUGACCAUCAUGCCCUGGAUGGAGCCUCUCCUGGCUCACCCCACCUGCACUGCACUGUCCCCAGAGAGCCACCCCUCCACCCACUCAGAGACAGCUGUGGAGAGGGCCAGGAGAAUGGGAUUACCCUAUGACCAAGGAGACAUGGGAAGAAGCCCUCCUUCCUUCCACGAUCGAGGUUCCCCCAUCAACUCGGUUCUCGGAUAUGCAAGUACCUCACUUUGUUAACUUAUUAACUUAUUGGUUUCAUUAAAGUUUUCAAUAGG
rnacentral:sRNA from 1 species